UGGGGAAUUUUGGACAAUGGGCGCAAGCCUGAUCCAGCAAUGCCGCGUGCAGGAUGAAGGCCUUCGGGUUGUAAACUGCUUUUGCACGGAACGAAACGGUCUUUUCUAAUACAGAAGGCUAAUGACGGUACCGUAAGAAUAAGCACCGGCUAACUACGUGCCAGCAGCCGCGGUAAUACGUAGGGUGCGAGCGUUAAUCGGAAUUACUGGGCGUAAAGCGUGCGCAGGCGGUUCUGCAAGUCUGAUGUGAAAGCCCCGGGCUUAACCUGGGAACGGCAUUGGAGACUGCAGAGCUAGAGUACACCAGAGGGGGGUAGAAUUCCACGUGUAGCAGUGAAAUGCGUAGAUAUGCGGAGGAACACCGAUGGCGAAGGCAAUCCCCUGGGCCUGCACUGACGCUCAUGCACGAAAGCGUGGGGAGCAAACA
rnacentral:rRNA from 1 species